UCUAUAAGAUUGAGCUGUGAUGGGGAAGCACUUUCGAGUGCGAAGUACCUGAUGUCACACUGCCAAGAAAAUCUUCUAGCGUUUAAUUAUAACCUACCCGUACCGCAAACCGACACAGGUAGUCGAGGCGAGUAGCCUCAGGUGAGCGAGAGAACUCUCGUUAAGGAACUCGGCAAAAUUACCCCGUAACUUCGGGAGAAGGGGUGCUCUACAUUUGUAGAGCCGCAGUGAAUAGGCCCAAGCGACUGUUUAUCAAAAACACAGCUCUCUGCUAAAUCGUAAGAUGAUGUAUAGGGGGUGACGCCUGCCCGGUGCUGGGAGGUUAAGAGGAGUGCUUAGCGUAAGCGAAGGUAUGAAUUGAAGCCCCAGUAAACGGCGGCCGUAACAAUAACGGUCCUAAGGUAGCGAAAUUCCUUGUCGGGUAAGUUCCGACCCGCACGAAAGGCGUAACGAUUUGGGCACUGUCUCAACGAGAGACUCGGUGAAAUUUUAGUACCUGUGAAGAUGCACGUUACCCGCGACAGGACGGAAAGACCCCAUGGAGCUUUACUGCAAGUUGAUAUUGAGUAUCUGUUGCACAUGUACAGGAUAGGUAGGAGCCAUUGAUCUGAGGACGCUAGUUUUCAGUGAGGCGAUGUUGGGAUACUACCCUUGUGUCAUGGCUACUCUAACCCGCAUGCCUAAUCGGCAUGGGAGACAGUGUCUGCUGGGCAGUCUGACUGGGGCGGUCGCCUCCUAAAGAGUAACGGAGGCGCUCAAAGUUUCCCUCAGCAUGGUUGGAAAUCAUGCGUAGAGUGUAAAGGUAUAAGGGAGAUUGACUGCGAGACUUACAAGUCGAGCAGGUACGAGAGUAGGACUUAGUGAUCCGGUGGUACCGCAUGGAAGGGCCAUCGCUCAACGGAUAAAAGCUACCCUGGGGAUAACAGGCUUAUCUCCCCCAAGAGUUCACAUCGACGGGGAGGUUUGGCACCUCGAUGUCGGCUCGUCGCGUCCUGGGGCUGUAGUCGGUCCCAAGGGUUGGGCUGUUCGCCCAUUAAAGCGGCACGCGAGCUGGGUUCAGAACGUCGUGAGACAGUUCGGUCCCUAUCCGUCGCGGGCGUAGGAAAUUUGAGAGGAUCUGCCCUUAGUACGAGAGGACCGGGGUGGACUUACCGCUUGUGUACCAGUUGUCUUGCCAAAGGCAUCGCUGGGUAGCUAUGUAGGGAACGGAUAAACGCUGAAAGCAUCUAAGUGUGAAACCAACCUCAAGAUGAGAUUUCCCAUUCUUUAUGAAUUAAGAGCCCUGAGAGAUGAUCAGGUAGAUAGGCUAGAAGUGGAAGGACAGUGAUGUUUGGAGCGGACUAGUACUAAUAGCUCGAGGACUUUACCG
rnacentral:rRNA from 1 species